UUAUAUUUUAUUUAUUAAUUGAUUUUUUUUUUAUUAUAAAUUAUUAAAAAUAAUUAUUAUAUGAUUUGUUUGAGUAUUUUAUAAAGAAAAAAUAAUUUUAAUUAUAGUUAAAUAGUAUUGUGAAAGAAAAUUGAAAUAAUUUGAAAAAUUAAUAUAUUAAAAGAAAAUUUAAUUUAUUGUACCUUGUGUAUCAGGGUUUAUUAAUUAAAAAUUAUUUAGUAUAAUUUUCUCGAUUUUAAAAGAGUUAAUAUAUUAUAAAAGUUAAUGUGACAAAAUUAUUUUAUAUAAUAUAUUAGAAAUGAAAUGUUAUUCGUUUUUAAAGGUAUCUAGUUCUUUAAGAAAUAAAUUUAAUUUAGAAAUAUUAUAUCAUUUAGUUAAAUAAAUUAACUAAAUAAUUAUUUUAUUUUAAUAUUUUAUGGGAUAAGCUAUGAAAUAAAUUAUUAAAAAUUAUUAAAUAAUUUAAUAAAUAUAAGCUUAGAAAUAGCUAUUAUUAAUGAAAUUGUUAUAAUUUAUUUUAUAAUAUUUAUUAUUUAUUAAAUUUUAAUUAUGUAUUAAAGUAUUUAUUUUAAUUUUAAAAAUAAAAAAAUAAUGAUAAAAUUAGUAUAUUAUAUUGUAUAAAUAUUAUUAAUUGAAAAGUUUUUAUAAAGAACUCGGCAAAAAUAAUGUUCGCCUGUUUAACAAAAACAUGUCUUUUUGAAUUUUUUUUAAAGUCUAGCCUGCCCACUGAAUAAUUUAAAUGGCCGCAGUAUACUAACUGUGCAAAGGUAGCAUAAUCAUUAGUCUUUUAAUUGAAGGCUGGUAUGAAUGGUUGGACGAGAUAUUAACUGUUUCAUAAAAAUUUAUAAUAGAAUUUUAUUUUUUAGUCAAAAAGCUAAAAUAUAAUUAAAAGACGAGAAGACCCUAUAAAUCUUUAUAUAUAUAGAUUAUUAGAAUUUUGUAGAUUUUUUUUAUUAUAAUAGUUAAUUAUAUUUUAUUGGGGUGAUAUUAAAAUUUAAUAAACUUUUAAUUUUAUAAGUCAUUAAUUUAUGAAUAAUUGAUCCGUUAAUAGCGAUUAAAAAAAUAAGUUACUUUAGGGAUAACAGCGUAAUUUUUUUGGAGAGUUCAUAUCGAUAAAAAAGAUUGCGACCUCGAUGUUGGAUUAAGAUAUAAUUUUAGGUGUAGCCGCUUAAAUUUUAAGUCUGUUCGACUUUUAAAUUCUUACAUGAUCUGAGUUCAAACCGGCGUAAGCCAGGUUGGUUUCUAUCUUUAAAAAAUUAAAAUAUUUCAGUACGAAAGGACCUAAUAUUUAAUAAAUAAUUAUUUUUAUAUUGAAUAUAAUUAAUUUAU
rnacentral:rRNA from 1 species